UUUUUGCAUCCGUCAAACCCUUCAUCUCUCUCGCAACAGGAACCUCUGCUAGGGUUUGAUACCAGCUCUUGGACAAGACAACUCUAAGCUCCGCUCUACUCCAUGAUUGUGGUGCUCUCUGUGUGUGUGUCGGAACUUCCCGCUAGCCCAUUUCCAGAUGUGAGAACUUCUGGUAGUAGUGAUGGUAAUAGGAAUGCUGCAGCUUGAUGGAUUGGACAGGUGUUGGGCCCAUUGUGGGGCCCAUUACUGGAGGAUUUUAUUAUUUAUGUUUUCUUGUCCGAACAAGACCUAGUAUAUUUAAUUGUGUUCUUUUCAAUAUAUUUCUGGUUGGGCCAUGUGGGGCUUUUUUCUUAUAAUCCGGAUAUAUUUGACGUAUUGUAUAUUUUCUUACCCUAAACCUCGUACUCUCUAAA